AUUGAACGCUGGCGGCCGGCUUAACACAUGCAAGUCGAGCGAGCGGCGGACGGGUGAGUACUGUAUGGGACACUGCCUGAGGGAGGGGGAUAACUACUGGAAACGGUAGCUAAUACCGCAUACAAUCAGAUGUACCCAGAUGGGCUUAGCUAGGAGGUGGGGUAAGGGAUCACCUAGGCGACGAUCCCUAGCUGGUCUGAGAGGAUGACCAGCCACACUGGAACGUAGACACGGUCCAGACUCCUACGGUAGUGAGCAGUGGGGAAUAUGGCACAAUGGGCGCAAGCCUGAUGCAGUCAUGCCGCGUGUGUGAAGAAGGCCUUCGGGUUGUAAAGCACUUUCAGCUAGGAGGCGUUACUCGCAGAAGAAGCACCGGCUAACUCCGUGCCAGCCGCCGCGGUAAUAC
rnacentral:rRNA from 1 species